rnacentral:rRNA from 1 species
GACGAACGCUGGCGGCGUGCCUAACACAUGCAAGUCGAACGGAAAGGCACUGCUAUCGUGGGGUGAUCGGGUGGCGAAGGGGUGAGUAACACGAGUGCAACCUGCUCUAGUUUUUGGGAUAACUUAAGGAAACUGGGGCUAAUCCCGUACAGGAGCCCACCCUGCAUGGUGGGGGGUGGAACGUUUCGGCGGUCGGGGAUGGACUGGCGGCUUAUCAGUUAGUUGGUGGGGUAGUGGCAUACCAAGGCAGUGGAGGGUAGCCGGCCUGAGAGGGUGACCGGCCACAUUGGGACUGAGGUACGGCCCAGACUCCUACGGUAGGCAGCAGUGGGGAAUAUUGCACAAUGGUCGGAAGCCGGAUGCAGCAACGCCGCGGUCGUGAUGACGGCCUUCGGGUUGUAAACCGCUUUCGCCUGUGACGAAGCGUUAGUGACGGUAAUGGGUAAAGAAGCACCGGCUAACUACGUG